AUUGAACGCUGGCGGCAGGCUUAACACAUGCAAGUCGAGCGGGGGAAGGUAGCUUGCUACUGGACCUAGCGGCGGACGGGUGAGUAAUGCUUAGGAAUCUGCCUAUUAGUGGGGGACAACAUCUCGAAAGGGAUGCUAAUACCGCAUACGUCCUACGGGAGAAAGCAGGGGAUCUUCGGACCUUGCGCUAAUAGAUGAGCCUAAGUCGGAUUAGCUAGUUGGUGGGGUAAAGGCCUAACAAGGCGACGAUCUGUAGCGGGUCUGAGAGGAUGAUCCGCCACACUGGGACUGAGACACGGCCCAGACUCCUACGGGAGGUAGCAGUGGGGAAUAUGGGACAAUGGGGGGAACCCUGAUCCAGCCAUGCCGCGUGUGUGAAGAAGGCCUUAUGGUUGUAAAGCACUUUAAGCGAGGAGGAGGCUACUUUAGUUAAUACCUAGAGAUAGUGGACGUUACUCGCAGAAUAAGCACCGGCUAACUCUGUGCCAGCCGCCGCGGUAA
rnacentral:rRNA from 1 species